CUCCUUCCCAUCUCGAACAGGACAGUGAAACGCCUUUGCGCCGAUGAUAGUGCGGGUUCCCGUGUGAAAGUAGGUCAUCGUCAGGC
rnacentral:rRNA from 1 species